ensembl:snRNA U6 U6 spliceosomal RNA
GUGCUUGCUUUGGCAGCACAUAUACUAAAGUUGGAAUGAUACAGAGAUUAGCAUGGGCCCUGCACAAGCAUGACACACAAGUUGAGGGGGAGGAUUAAAUAAAAUUA